rnacentral:pre_miRNA from 1 species
AAUAAGUGCAGUUUUAGCACUCUUCAUGUCUAACAUUUGACCGUUUGUUUUAUUUGAAAAAGAUUAUGAUUAGUAUUUUUAUUAUUACUAUGAAUAGUGUGGCUAAUUUUUUUAAAUAUUUUUUAUAAAUUUUUUAAAUAAGAUGGAUGGUUGAAACGCUAAACAUAAAUAUUUAUGGCUACAUUUAUU